GGAUGUGAGGGCGAUCUGGCUGCGACAUCUGUCACUCCAUUGAUCGCCAGGGUUGAUUCUGCUGACGUGGCUGGCUAGGCGGGUGUCCUCGUCCUCCCUCACCGCUCCAUGUGCGUCCCUCCUGAAGCUGUGUGCUUGGUCGGUGGAAGAGGACGACCACCCCCGAUAGAGGAGGACUGUUCUUUGGUCAAGGGUACCCGAGUCGCUGCGCUCCCUGCGAGAACCUCCAAACAAGCUCUCAAGAUGGGAGUUUGGAAAAGUGUGCAUUUCCGAUAAAGAAUGACAUGCAUCUUUCUAU
rnacentral:snRNA from 1 species